rnacentral:ncRNA from 12 species
AAACUAAGAGGUGGAAAGUGACCUUCCAUACGCCUACGGUAUAGGAAACUAUACAAAGGGUGAUAGAAGCCCGUAACAGGUUAAGCUGACGAGGAUAAGAGAUUUCGGAAUUGGUCUCCGAACUUAGUAU